AUGCAACGCGAAGAACCUUACCUGGUCUUGACAUCCCGGAGACCCUUAGGAAACUAGGGGGUGCUUCCAUCUGGAAGAAUCUGGAGACAGGUGCUGCAUGGCUGUCGUCAGCUCGUGUCGUGAGAUGUUGGGUUAAGUCCCGCAACGAGCGCAACCCUUGCCUUUAGUUGCCAGCAGUUCGGCUGGGCACUCUAAAGGGACUGCCGGUGUUAAACCGGAGGAAGGUGGGGAUGACGUCAAGUCCUCAUGGCCUUUAUGACCAGGGCUACACACGUACUACAAUGGCCGAUACAAAGGGCAGCGACACUGCGAGGUGAAGCCAAUCCCGUAAAAUCGGUCUCAGUCCGGAUUGGAGUCUGCAACUCGACUCCAUGAAGUUGGAAUCGCUAGUAAUCGUGGAUCAGCAUGCCACGGUGAAUACGUUCCCGGGCCUU
rnacentral:rRNA from 1 species